AUUGAACGCUAGCGGGAUGCCUUACACAUGCAAGUCGAACGGAGUGGCGAACGGGUGAGUAAUGUAUCGGAACGUGCCCAGUAGCGGGGGAUAACUACGCGAAAGCGUAGCUAAUACCGCAUACUAUUGGAGCGGCCGAUAUUGGAUUAGCUAGUUGGUGGGGUAACGGCUCACCAAGGCGACGAUCCGUAGCUGGUUUGCGGGGCCGACCAGCCACACUGGGACUGAGACACGGCCCGUACGCCUCCGUGAGGCAGCAGUGGGUAAGUUUGGACAAUGGGGGAAACCCGGAUCCAGCCAUCCAGCGUGUGCGAUGAAGGCCUUCGGGUUGUAAAGCACGUUUGGCAGGAAAGCGGUACCUGCAGAAUGAGCACCGGCUAACUACGUGCCAGCAGCCGCGGUAAUAC
rnacentral:rRNA from 1 species